AUUGAACGCUGGCGGAAUGCUUUACACAUGCAAGUCGAACGGCUGCACGGGGGCAACCCUGGUGGCGAGUGGCGAACGGGUGAGUAAUACAUCGGAACGUGCCCAUGUCGUGGGGGAUAACGUAGCGAAAGCUACGCUAAUACCGCAUACGAUCUACGGAUGAAAGCGGGGGAUCGCAAGACCUCGCGCGAUCGGAGCGGCCGAUGGCCGAUUAGGUAGUUGAUGGGGUAAAGGCUCACCAAGCCAACGAUCUGUAGCUGGUCUGAGAGGACGGUCAGACACACGGGGGUGGAGAGCGGUACCGGGCGCCUACGGGGGGCGGCAGGGGGGAAUGUUGGACGAUGGGGGAAAGCCUGAGACGGCCAUUCCGCGUGCAGGAUGAAGGCCCUCGGGUGGUAAACUGCUUUGGUGCGGAACGAAAAGCCUUCUUCUAAUACAGGAGGGGCAUGACGGUACCGUAAGAAUAAGCACCGGCUAACUACGUGCCAGCCGCCGCCGUAACAC
rnacentral:rRNA from 1 species